UAUGCAGAUGUUCUUUAUUCAUCAUCACCAGUAACUGGAAACCCGCUCUCCUUGAAGCACCUGUUGGUGAGCGUCCGUGGGAUGUUGCCACCAGUAACUGGACACCUGCUCGCCUUGAAGCACCUGUAGCUCAUGGUGGGCGUCGGCAAGGACAGGACCGCAUUCCUGGAUGACAAGGACCCUUGGCAGGUGCAGCGCUAGAUUCACAGCGACGGGGUCUCCUGAGCUGCCUUCCGUACCAUCGAAGAGCACACCUGGCAGCAGAUUUGCAUCCUGGGCCUCCACCUGUUGGAACCGCCGGCCCUCGGGGUCCAGCUCCCCCGCCACUCCCCUGGCUCCUCUCCAGUCGUCCAUGUCGGAGACCCUCGCUCCUGUGACCCUUCCUCUCCAGUCGUCCACGUCGGAGACCCUGGCUCGUGUGGCCCUUACACCGGUCGACUCACCCCGGAAGGAAUCGCUCGAGUGGGGCCGAGGGCCGAGGGGCGGGCAUCGGGAGCGCCUCCCGCAAAGCGCUGAGGCGCCGGCAGCGAGGUGGCGUCAGCCAAAGCGGGGACCCCUUGAUGCUUUGACGGGGAGCACGCGAAAGUGUGGCGUCCCAACGCAGAAGAGACUUAACGUCCCUGGAGCAAAUCAAGAUGGCGUUCCAGACGUUGACACGACGCAGGAGGGAUGGCGGGGAGGCCGCGGGGCGUUCGCGAUAUCGUUACCGUGAAAUUUUCCGAAGGUCAACCACGGCCACGUCUUCCUGCUGAUAGUCGACCACGGCCACAUCUUCCUGAUGAUAGGUCAACCCCAUCCACGCUUUCUUGAUGACCUCCCAGCACGUCCAGCGUAAUCCUCAUCCAGAACUAGUCAAAGACCGUAGGAGAGAAACAAAUUGAACUAUAAAUCAAUAUCUUACAUGAGCGCACAAAGCAAAAAUCCUCUGGCCUGUGCCAUUUUCUGGUGAGAAAUCCACUGUUACUCUUAUCUUUGUUUCUCUGUACAGGUCUUUUUUUCAAACUUGUUGUCUUUCCAUGGGUUUUCAGGAAUUUGAUUAUAAAUCCAGCAAUAUAUGAAAACAUAAUGCAUAUAGACCAAGUGGAGUGUCACCCAGCAUUGCAGGAAAAUUUGAUUUUCAUAAAUCUUUCAGGCAGGCCAAUGUGAAGAAAGGACUAGACUUAUCUUUCCACAGUAAACAACUGGAAAACAGGAUGAAAAUAUAUGAAACAGUAGUUUUCGGGUGGUGGACAGGAGGCAGUGGGCCCUGAUUACCAAGAGGACAGUAAUUGUGCCAGCUUCCUUCCUGGGGCCAGUUUCCUGGCUGCAUCACCGGGAAGAGAAACCCAGUGGUGGUCUCGCUACGGUGAGAGACAACAGAGCUGUGGUGUGGAUGGACCUGUGCACACAGGAGUGGAAACGACUCUUCAUUCUUUUGCUGCCAUCCGCCAUCAUUUGGCAGAAGCAGAG
rnacentral:lncRNA from 1 species